ACCGCCGCACGCCCAUUGUACUUCAUCAGGUGCUCUGGUGAUCAUAGUUCCAGGCGCUUGUUGGAGUACACUUACCGUGUCGGCGGU
rnacentral:pre_miRNA from 9 species